GACGAGCGCUGGCGGCGUGCCUAAUACAUGCAAGUUGAGCGCUGAAGGUUGGUACUUGUACCAACUGGAUGAGCAGCGAACGGGUGAGUAACGCGUGGGGAAUCUGCCUUUGAGCGGGGGACAACAUUUGGAAACGAAUGCUAAUACCGCAUAAAAACUUUAAACACAAGUUUUAAGUUUGAAAGAUGCAAUUGCAUCACUCAAAGAUGAUCCCGCGUUGUAUUAGCUAGUUGGUGAGGUAAAGGCUCACCAAGGCGAUGAUACAUAGCCGACCUGAGAGGGUGAUCGGCCACAUUGGGACUGAGACACGGCCCAAACUCCUACGGGAGGCAGCAGUAGGGAAUCUUCGGCAAUGGACGAAAGUCUGACCGAGCAACGCUGCGUGAGUGAAGAAGGUUUUCGGAUCGUAAAACUCUGUUGGUAGAGAAGAACGUUGGUGAGAGUGGAAAGCUCAUCAAGUGACGGUAACUACCCAGAAAGGGACGGCUAACUACGUG
rnacentral:rRNA from 1 species